rnacentral:rRNA from 1 species
UACGUAGGGUGCAAGCGUUAAUCGGAAUUACUGGGCGUAAGGCGUGCGCAGGCGGUUGGGCAAGACAGAUGUGAAAUCCCCGGGCUUAACCUGGGAACUGCAUUUGUGACUGCAUGGCUAGAGUGUGUCAGAGGGGGGUAGAAUUCCACGUGUAGCAGUGAAAUGCGUAGAUAUGUGGAGGAAUACCGAUGGCGAAGGCAGCCCCCUGGGAUAACACUGACGCUCAUGCACGAAAGCGUGGGGAGCAAACAGG